AGACGACACUUCCGCUCAGUGCACACUGGGGUUAGACUGUGUCGGUAGUGCAUUGUACAAGCCAGGAAUUCAAGAGGGGAAGAGAUCGAAGAUAAACUAAAGAGAAGGAUCUAGAGUAGAACGGAGUACAACCCAAAUGCCAGGUGGAUGCCUAUGGACCUAAUGGAGCACAUCUGGCAGGAUUUCCAGAGAUUACUGGAAGGGAUGGACGUGGGACUGUGAGAAGUGAAAGAAGAGCAUGAAUUUCAUUAUUAGAAUUUAUCUGUGCAGCAUCAGUCGGGCAAGGAAACAAGCUCACAAAUGGAGGCAGCAGGAAUUAAUUGGAGGUGUUUAAGCUGCAGCUGAUUUAAGCAUGCAUUCAUCCCCUCAUUUGCAAAGCUUGUGGUCUGAAUUUAUAUUGGCUGUCCUCAUUCUUGACUAAGAAAGGGGCAAAGGAUAAACCAGGAAACUACCAACCUGUCAGCUUGACAUCAAUAUUUGGAAAACUGAUGGAAAAGCCAUAAUGUAUGAUAAGGAUGAGGACGUUGCUGGCUAAGCAACAUUUAUUGCCCAUCCCUAAUUGCCCAGAUGGCAGUUAAGAGUCAACCACAUUGCUGCUGUCUCUUGCCUUGACAUUCCUUAAUGGAUAUCCCUUCAGUUCAUGGCAUCACCACAAUGCGUAGCCUCAUUGCAAGGCCUUACUAUUUCUCACAUCAGCUGCCAUAUAUCAGUGAGAUGAAGGCUCUUCUUGCAGCUAAGGAACUGGGUUCCUUGCACACCUAACCCACAAGACUGCUUUUUGGAAGAAAAUCUACCAAUCUUACCUGGACUGGCCUAUUUGACUCCAGGCCCAGAAAAGUCCUAAGUGCCCUCUGAAAUAAAGUAGAGUCCAGUCAAGAAUGUCAAAAAAUUGCUGAUACUGUGAGAGCAACUUCAGCACUUGAGCGACAGACAUGUCUGCGGUACGCAAGAUUCUCAUACCAGCAAGGCAAUGUUGCCUGUGCAAUCCAGGUCUGUCAAGUAAUGGUGUUACUAUGUGGUACCAAAGACUUCACCCACUACCACCUUCCUCAUGAUGAAAUCAGUAACCAAGAAGAAAAUGAAUGGAGAGGACAUGCAGCGUUGCUGUACUCCUCUGAUGCUGGAGAAACCUCUGCUGCCCAUAUUAGUUUUGAUACAGCAUUUGGACUUUGAAGGUAUUAAUAUAUUGGCCCAGGAUAUGGUACUGCUGUAUAAUUAUCAGAGUGACUACUGAUACAUGCUGUUGAAACCCUUUUUGAAAUUAAUGAAGUUGAUAACAAAUGCCUUCUAGCUUCUGCUCUAUGGUGAUGCUCCUAAACAUAAAGAUUUGCUCACAGCAUGAUCUCCACAAUGGGCGUUGGAAGCAGAAGUAGACAAUGUGUUGAGAAGCACCAUGCUGAAGACCCUGUCAGGUACGAGCAGUGAUAUUAUACCCUCUAGUUAUUGCAGUCACAGAGGUUCCUUUUCUUGGAAGUUUGACAAGCCUUAUGCAUUUUGUAUGGUAUGAUCUACUUGUGUAGCAUGCAAAACAAUGUUUUUCUCUAUAGCUCGGCACA